rnacentral:lncRNA from 1 species
GCUGCACAGAACAAAAAUUGCAUUCAAGGUUGGAAGACUUAAUUGAUGUGCGUGUAGAAAAUAUACAAAAACAAAAAAAAACGUGGUGAAAAUUUUGCAAAACCAUAAAAGGGAACAUAAUUCAAAUAAAAACCAAUAUAAAAGUGUUGUGGCUGCAAAGACGAAAACUUAAAAACCAACCCCUGGAUAAGGUACGCCAAGAAAAAAAUGAAAAAGUGACCUUAUUACAUAAUUCCAUGUAUGUACUGUACAUAGGUUAUGAUCCACGUGUGGCAGGAAAUUGCUGAC